CGGGAUGGCUUACACAUGCAAGUCGAACGCUUCUGUUGACUUCGGUCUUCAGAGGAGUGGCGCACGCGUGAGUAGCGCGUGGGAACCUGCCCUCUUGUGGGGGAUAACUGUGGGAAACUGCAGCUAAUACCGCAUAAGCCCGGGGUGACUCGGGGAAAGAUUUAUCGCGAGAGGAGGGGCCCGCGUCGGAUUAGCUAGUUGGUGGGGUAAAGGCCUACCAAGGCAGUGAUCCGUAGCUGGUCUGAGAGGAUGAUCAGCCACACUGGGACUGAGACACGGCCCAGACUCCUACGGGAGGCAGCAGUGGGGAAUAUUGGACAAUGGGCGCAAGCCUGAUCCAGCAAUGCCGCGUGAGUGAGGAAGGCCUUAGGGUUGUAAAGCUCUUUCGCACGCGACGAUGAUGACGGUAGCGUGAGAAGAAGCCCCGGCUAACU
rnacentral:rRNA from 1 species